CAGUCGUACGCUUCUUUUUCCCCGGAGCUUGCUCCACCGGAAAAAGAAGAGUGGCGAACGGGUGAGUAACACGUGGGUAACCUGCCCAUCAGAAGGGGAUAACACUUGGAAACAGGUGCUAAUACCGUAUAACAAUCGAAACCGCAUGGUUUUGAUUUGAAAGGCGCUUUCGGGUGUCGCUGAUGGAUGGACCCGCGGUGCAUUAGCUAGUUGGUGAGGUAACGGCUCACCAAGGCCACGAUGCAUAGCCGACCUGAGAGGGUGAUCGGCCACAUUGGGACUGAGACACGGCCCAAACUCCUACGGGAGGCAGCAGUAGGGAAUCUUCGGCAAUGGACGAAAGUCUGACCGAGCAACGCCGCGUGAGUGAAGAAGGUUUUCGGAUCGUAAAACUCUGUUGUUAGAGAAGAACAAGGAUGAGAGUAACUGUUCAUCCCUUGACGGUAUCUAACCAGAAAGCCACGGCUAACUACGUGCCAGCAGCCGCGGUAAUACGUAGGUGGCAAGCGUUGUCCGGAUUUAUUGGGCGUAAAGCGAGCGCAGGCGGUUUCUUAAGUCUGAUGUGAAAGCCCCCGGCUCAACCGGGGAGGGUCAUUGGAAACUGGGAGACUUGAGUGCAGAAGAGGAGAGUGGAAUUCCAUGUGUAGCGGUGAAAUGCGUAGAUAUAUGGAGGAACACCAGUGGCGAAGGCGGCUCUCUGGUCUGUAACUGACGCUGAGGCUCGAAAGCGUGGGGAGCAACAGGAUUAGAUACCCU
rnacentral:rRNA from 1 species